GAGUCGCUAGCUCAGUUGGUAGAGCACCUGCCUUUUAAGCAGGUGGUGCCCGGUUCGAUCCCGGGGCGACUCACCA
rnacentral:tRNA from 1 species